rnacentral:lncRNA from 1 species
CCAAAAUAUAAUAUGCAGUCAUCAGUACAAAAACAAUAAAAUCUUUCUAAUUGUUAAGCAGAUAUAUGAAAAAAAGCAUCUAAUAAAUACCAAGCAGAAACUUUAAGGGCCGAUUACAGAAACGAAGUUUUAACAGGCCACAGCUUACGCUUGAGACUGCGGCUUCGAUAAACUGCCGCGGAGAACCGGUUUCAGAAACAGAGACUAGUGAAGCCAUGGCUUAAAACACCGCUGUUCCCUUAAACAUUUCUCGCCCCAAGAAAUUGAAUUUCUUAACCAAUCAGUGAUUCGCAGAUGAUGUCAGUAAAAUGGCGGAAUUUUCAAGCGUACAUGCUAUAAAACCGAGUAGAAAUUUUUUUGAAGAAGAAAAAAACGUUCUAAUUGAACUAAUUAAAGCGUAUCCUGCUAUUGAGGAUAAGGGAUAUGAUUUAAAAUCAGUCAACAAAAAAAAGCUUGGAAAAGUAUUCAUGAUGAAUUUAAUUCAUCAUUUUCGACACGAUCCUCUCGAACACUGGAUCAAUUGAAAGAUAAAUAAGAAUUUUUAUUAAAACUAAUACCUCUUAAAC